rnacentral:rRNA from 1 species
GAUCAUGGCUCAGGAUGAACGCUAGCUACAGGCUAACACAUGCAAGUCGAGGGCAGCAUGUGGUGCUGCAACCAUGACGGCGACCGGCGCACGGGUGAGUAACGCGUAUCCAACCUUCCCUAUAGUAGAGGAUAGCCCGGCGAAAGUCGGAUUAAUACUCUAUGUUUUCCAAUGCAGACAUCUAAGUUGGAACAAAGGUUCACCGCUAUAGGAUGGGGAUGCGUCUGAUUAGAUAGUCGGCGGGGUAACGGCCCACCGAGUCGACGAUCAGUAGGGGUUCUGAGAGGAAGGUCCCCCACAUUGGAACCGAGACACGGUCCAAACUCCUACGGGAGGCAGCAGUGAGGAAUAUUGGUCAAUGGGCGAGAGCCUGAACCAGCCAAGUAAGCGUGCAGGAUGACGGCCCUAUGGGUUGUAAACUGCUUUUAUACAGGGAUAAAGUGACGUACGUGUACGUUUUUGUAGGUACUGUAUGAAUAAGGACCGGCUAAUUCCGUGCCAGCCGCGGC